UUAUUUCAGUAACAAAAUGUCUGGCUUCAGGUUUAGCAACAGGGCCAUUUCUCGACAGCUAAUCAAUACGACUGUUCCACCCCCUCCUCUCCUAAUUAUGUAAUUAUCCACAGAGCUCUUCCAAGAACCACUGGGCUAAGCCCUUUUCUCCCCACAUUUUGCUGGUAGAAUUCUAUUCCCCAAAGACUUCUCUUGCUCCCUAAAUUUUAAUUUAUUAACUGUUUCACCUUAAAGCAAUCACCUUUGCAGUCAAUUCCCCAAAUAAAACAUCUGCCUUUUCAAUUCAGACAGCUAUAAGUGAAGAAAUACACCAGGGGAGCAGAAUUAUGUUCUCUUUUCGAAAGUAGAGAUGUUUACAAAGACAGGCUUCUGACACCAGCUGCCUGGUCUGCAUCACCAAUGAGCUGGCACGGGGCUGCCAGAGAAGGUGAGCACCAUUAGCCCCAUUCCUCCUGCUCACCUGGAAGGGGCAGCAGCAGCUCCUGCUCGUUAAUCCUCCAUCCUGUAUUAAUUGACCUUUUACAGGGGCUACUUGAGACCUGCAAGCUCUGAGGUCAUUAGUUCUCAAAGUGCUCUCUGUUUUUCUGUAGCAUCUAUUUGCAUGGCAUUUGUGGUUUUAACAUGCUUUAAAAUCAUUUCUCUCCUGAGGCCUUAUGGUGCUAUUUUGCUUUUCUGUUAAGCCAUCAGAAGGGGAUGAUACCGAUGCUAACUUUCCUCCAAGCUUGUUCUAAGUACAGACGUCUGGGGGCAAAAGGGUGAAGUGAGCAUAGGAAAACCAAGCCCAGCUGACUUUUGGGGAACAGAAAAACAUCAUUCUGAAGAGUGGUACCACAUCCAAGUGUUUAUAGAUAUGAGCAUAGACAUGGAUGAGAAAUGGACACGAUAUUAACUUCACUUCAGCGAGGCCUGGCCUGCACCUUGUCAACUGCAGGUUUUUGGACAUCAGUGGCAUAAAAACACGAUGUGACCCAGGGCAGCCUCGGGAUGAAAAAAAAAGAAAGAAAACAAGAAAGACCAAGAUUUCAUACCAAAAUAAAUUUUUUAAGGGAGGCACGAAGCAUUAUUUUUAUUAGAGUUUAGGAAAGCGAAGCACAGAUGCUGUGUUCUGUUAACGCUUCAGUCGGGUUUUCCGCAGGUGCCGCCUCAUGUAGCGGCGUCUGGAGCCUUGGCCGUGACUUACACGCCCUGUCCUCUUUACCAGGGAAGCUCAGAGUCUUGAGAUCUUUCAUGAAUUUCCCCUGAGGGAGAAAGCGACUAGUUAUGCAGAAUAAAUUAAACAGCCUGGGAAAUAAAAAAAAGUCUGUCCCCAUUGUGAAGAUUCUAUUUAGUGAGGCAAAUUUGAUUUCAGAAGAUACAUAGAGGUGAGAAGUCGGAGGUUAACGCUCCUCCGAGUAAGACUCCUUCAACACUCCAAAGGGCUUAAUUACUGACUGGGAUGGUAGAAACAAUAGGAAAAGAGCUGCUAUCUAAUGCCUUAGCUCCUGAACUCUAUGUUUUAGAGUCAUUUCAAAUAUUUAGGGUCCUGGUAGACCACAUCAUCCCAGAUAGAAAAGAUUAGCAAGUAUCUGGAGACAAAAAAGUCAAUCGUAAGAGUUCUCAUUGGCAGUGGCAAGCACUAUUCUGUUCUUUUAAUUAUAUCACGUGUGUUCCCAUUUCAUCCUCCCAAAUGACACUUUGAGGGGAUGGGCUAACCCCUGUUGUCAAGAUUAGGAAACUGAGGACUAUGCUCUUUAAGGAGCUUGCCUGAGAUCACCAGAGCAAUAAAUGGAAGAGGCUUGAAACUAUUUGAACUCUGAAUCUUUUGCCCUACCUGCUACAAAAUAAUAUCAUCACCAUAAAACACUGAAAAAGAAAAGAUCUCUUUAUGGCCUCUUGCAGUAUUUCUCUACUAUACAGAGAAGUGCAAUAAAAUGUCAGUUUUAUCCUUUUUUACUGACUGCAUUUUCCUUACUGACAUACACAGGUCAGGUGGAACUGAAAAAUACAUUAAGAUAUAAUGACAUCAUCCAGCCGCUGACACAGGAUUCCUUUGAUAUUGGAGAUGAUUUCCGAGAUGUCUAUUUAAAUCCCCGAAUGUGGGGACUUGGCCUUGUUCACGUUGCAUUCUUGACUUAAUCAUAAACCAACAGGAAAGUCAUAGGUUCUUUCCAAACUGUAGGCGGGAUAGCAAUUCACUUGACCGUCUAUAAAUGCUGGAUAUACAAUAUUCAACUUUUCAAUGAAAUACCAACUUGGAAUGAAUGCUAAUUUGAGGGAAAAAAUCCUAGAAUAUAUAUUUUUAAGUGUGGCAACAUUUAUAAUUCAAAUUCAGAGUGUUCUCUCUCAGCAACUUGAGCUCCUUGGUGGGCACCAGUGGAGAGAAUAGACUCAAGUGGUCACCCAAUCAGCCUUUGCUUACAAAGCUCAAGGAGGCAAAGAAUGAUAAAGAGUGAUGCAAAGAACCUUGUCUGGAAGUUUCUCAGAGGUCAACACUGGGACAGCAUGGAUUCUGGGGAGAAACUAUGGCAACAAACUCAAAACCCAGAAUGCAGC
ensembl:lncRNA